rnacentral:rRNA from 1 species
UACAGAGGGUGCAAGCGUUAAUCGGAAUUACUGGGCGUAAAGCGUGCGCAGGCGGUGAUGUAAGACAGUUGUGAAAUCCCCGGGCUCAACCUGGGAACUGCAUUGGUGACUGGCAGGCUUUGAGUGUGGCAGAGGGAGGUAGAAUUCCACGUGUAGCAGUGAAAUGCGUAGAGAUGUGGAGGAAUACCGAUGGCGAAGGCAGCCUCCUGGGCCAACACUGACGCUCAUGCACGAAAGCGUGGGGAGCAAACAGG